rnacentral:tRNA from 1 species
CUGUAAAUAGUUUAAGAAAAAUGUAAAUUUGUGGGGUUUAAGUUAUAGGGAAUAUUUUAUAGAUAAU